rnacentral:rRNA from 1 species
GAUGAACGCUGGCGGCGUGCCUAAUACAUGCAAGUCGAGCGAACAGACGAGGAGCUUGCUCCUCUUACUUUAGCGGCGGACGGGUGAGUAACACGUGGAUAACCUACCUAUAAGACUGGGAUAACUUCGGGAAACCGGAGCUAAUACCGGAUAAUAUAUUGAACCGCAUGGUUCAAUAGUGAAAGACGGUUUUGCUGUCACUUAUAGAUGGAUCCGCGCCGCAUUAGCUAGUUGGUAAGGUAACGGCUUACCAAGGCAACGAUGCGUAGCCGACCUGAGGGGGUGAUCGGCCCCCCUGGAACUGAGACACCGCCCAGACUCCUACGGGAGGCACUCGUCGCGAAUCUGCGGCCAGGAGCGACCGCCUGACGUAGCCACGCCGCGUGAGUGAUGACGGUGUUCGGCUCGGUAAACUCUGUUAUUAGGGAAGAACAAAUGUGUAAGUAACUAUGCACGUCUUGACGGUACCUAAUCAGAAAGCCACGGCUAACUACGUG